rnacentral:lncRNA from 1 species
CUGCCUUACAAGCCCGGUCUUCAAAGCAUUCCUGUCUUUACUGUCGAAUGCACCAAAUGUCUCCCACAGCUGUUUAGUUGAGAGGUUUGGGGAGAGGAUCAUGGUAUCAUCACCCUCAUAGCACCAAGUAUUGCUUGGGAAGCUAUUCAGGGCUGGAUGAAUUACACAAGGUUCCUUGGACACCAGACAGGCGAAGCGGGGUUAGAGCACCAUGUGAUCUCAGCUACAGUUCCCAGCCCAGAGUCCUGAUGUUGUGCACAGACGUGGUAACUUGGCUCCUUUCCUGCUUGAAAACAUUUGUUUGGAUGUUCUGAGACUUUCUCAACACUGUGGCCCCCCGCCAUAGGGUGUUACAUGGCUUUAGAUAAGAAAUCUCCAUAAAACUGUAAGCAAUGUGUCUUCUGCAGUAAAUCUUUCUUCUUAGUC